rnacentral:rRNA from 1 species
CCUACGGGAGGCAGCAGUGGGGAAUAUUGGGCAAUGGGCGCAAGCCUGACCCAGCAACGCCGCGUGAAGGAAGAAGGCUUUCGGGUUGGAAACUUCUUUUCUCAGGGACGAAGAAAGUGACGGUACCUGAGGGAUAAGCCACGGCUAACUACGUGCCAGCAGCCGCGGUAAUACGGAGGUGGCAAGCGUUAUCCGGAUUUAUUGGGUUUAAAGGGCGUGUAGGCGGGAGGGCAAGUCAGAUGUGAAAACUCAGGGCUCAACCCUGAGCCUGCAUUUGAAACUGUGGUUCUUGAGUGCUGGUGAGGCAAUCGGAAUGCCGGGUGUAGCGGUGAAAUGCGUAGAUAUACGGAGGAACACCAGUGGCGAAGGCGGAUUGCUGGACAGUAACUGACGCUGAGGCGCGAAAGCGUGGGGAGCAAACAGGAUUAGAUACCCUUGUAGUC